CAGGCGCUGACCCACGCGCGCGUGCGGACGCCGGCACAGGCGCGGGGUUUCCAGCCUUCGGUUUGGCCCCAUAAGGACCUUUCGGGAGGGCGCCGAGUUCAGUCGCUCAGGCGUGUCCGACUCUUCGCGGCCCCAUGGACCGCAGCGCGCCAGGCCGCCCUGUCCAUCACCAACUCCCGGAGUUCACUCAAACUCAUGUCCAUCGGUGGUACCAUCCAACCAUCUCAUCCUCUGUGGCCCCCUUCUCCUGCCUUCAAUCUUUCCAGCAUCAGGGACUUUUCCAGUGAGUCAGUUCUUCGCAUCAAGGUGGCCAAACAAUUGGAGUUUCAGCUUCAACGUCAGUCCUUCCAAUGAAAAUUCAGGACUGAUUUCCUUUAGGAUUGACUGCUUGGAUCUCCUUGCAGUCCAAGGGACUCAAGAGUCUUCUCCGGCGCCAUGGGAUAAUCAACGAAGAGUGCUGGGUUGGAAUCACACGGACUCGGGAUCCAGCGGCAUACCUGUAACUUCCUAACUAAAGGAAACACACCAUGUUCCCCUUGGCUAGAAAACAGACCCUUUCUCCUAACUAAGGGGGAGGUUCGUGAUCUGACUCCGGAGGACCAGUGAGCACGCCUGGCCUGGAACAGCAUGUGACAUGCAGGUGCCCCUGAACGAGAAGAGGGCUCGGACGCGGCAAUCCACCCCGGACCUCCAAAGGAUGGAAGAUUCCAGCAGACCGUGAUUUGAUUCCUGUUCAUUAUCUUUUCUGGCAGGGUGAAAUAAAGUCGAAUGAGCCCACCUGUCCCAGGCAGAAGCUGUUAAGCCUGAGCCUUCUCCUGCUCUCUCUGUUCACCUGCACCGUGCCUUCUUGCUGUUUUCAAGCCCUGGGACCAGUGCUCCUCAGGCUUUUGGUAGACAUGGAUUAGAUGUGUGCUUGCACGGGCAUAAGAGUGUGUGCAUUUUUAAUCCAUUGAAGACUGGCACUUUGGCAAAACACAAUAAAAAUGAAUUUUU